GCAGAAAACACAAGAAAAACACAAAUAGAAUUAGAAGUUCGUGCUAUACAAAACAGCUGGCUGCGGCUGCUUUGGUCCUUAGCGUAAAACCAACUUAUAAAUAUUGUACAGACAGGCUGAUGACAAGGACGAGUUCACAUGAAUUCAACCAGAUAAUUAAUGGGGCCCACCUCUCACACACGAAUAAUUUUUCUUCAAUGAAAAUCGCUUAACAUGGGAAGCUUCCAGGCAUCAUAAAUGGUCAACAACGAAUAGAAAGAAUAAAUAGAUCAUCAACUCAAUUAGGCAUGCCUUUUUGAAUCUCAAGCACCGACCCUUAACUGUGUUUGAUUGAUGAUGUUCUUCAGGGCUCUCCGCCGCUGCGCCUCUUUCUUGGAUUUUUUGAAACCAAGAAGUAUAUUUUCUUGUUAACCCUACCUAUUCUAGCUGCUGACAUAUUCAAGAUCAAGUUUUUUCUUAUUUUUUCUUGUGUACUACAACCAUACCAGUACAUGAAGAUUAAAGAUCAUAGUUUUUGCUCUUAGAUCUGUCAGAUUGAGGUUAGAAUUGGUGAGCACAGAGAUUAUGAAUUUCAUGUCUGGUAGGCCAGGAUUUUAUGAAGACGAAGAAGAAGAAGAAGGGAGCUCAGAAGGUGUGAAUCCUUCAUCACACUACUCUUUCUUCCCCUCUUCUUCUGAGCAAAAAGGUGUUGUUCCUUACACCUACCACCGGCAAGAAGGUGAGCUCAUGGUGGACUCUUCGCCCAACAAUAAUGGAGAUGGGGAGGAGACUAAUGACUCCGGUGAUCACGUUAUUCGUCCGCGAGGAGGAGAAGGAGAAGGAAGUAGGAUGGCUGCUAACUCCAUCUUUAUCGAGAGGGAGCACAUGUUUGACAAGGUAGUGACACCAAGUGAUGUGGGCAAGCUCAAUCGAUUAGUCAUUCCUAAACAAUACGCAGAAAGGUAUUUCCCCUUGGAUUCAUCCACGAAUGAGAAAGGACUUCUGUUGAAUUUCGAGGAUAGAAAUGGGAAGCCAUGGAGAUUCAGAUACUCCUACUGGAACAGCAGCCAAAGCUAUGUAAUGACCAAAGGAUGGAGCCGCUUUGUUAAAGAGAAGAAGCUUGAUGCAGGUGACACGGUCUCUUUUCAGCGUGGGGUCGGCGAGUUGGGAAAGGAUCGAUUAUUCAUUGAUUGGAGGCGCCGUCCAGAUGUGCUUGCGCUUUCUCCUCCUAUUCCUCCUCUCUCAGUUCCACAUCAAUUCUCUUUCCAGAGGACUCUUCACCCGUGGAAUCCUCCAUAUUUUCAGUCACAAGGGCCACCAUUGACCAGGGAUUAUUCACACUUGAUGCAACCCAAUAAUACUUAUGGAUAUGGUAACGGACCUUAUGUUUGCAGUAGUAAUGUUAUAACCGGAAACCCUUGUUCGGCAGGCUCAAUAGUCUAUGUUAGAUCAGCUGCCGGAGCUGGAGCCGAAGCUGGAACUGGAGCAUUAGCUCCACGUCAGCUCAGAACGGCACAGAUGCAAAGGGUAGGUGGGGUUGGGGUUGAGCAAAUGGUAUUUGACUCGGUGCCGGUGGUCCAAGGCAAGGCUGCAGCAAAGCGACUCAGGCUGUUUGGUGUGAACAUGGAGUGUCCCAUUUCAGAGUCAGAUGAAUGUGAUAUAUUGUCUUCCACAACUGUAACUCAUUCAACAAUGGAACUUCAGCCUCCCCCUUUUGAUUCUUCUUCAUUUCCUAAUUCAUUUUCUUUCCAGUCAAGGCCCCAAACUAUGCCCUCGGACCUGCUCAACAAAGGCAAGGGUUCCAUGUCUUUGGAUUUAGACAUCUGAACUAAAGAAUUCUUCUCUAAUUCAAAAGAGGUAAGGUCCUGCAGAAGAGGCAUAAAUCUUGAUCAAUAUUGCUCAACUUCAUCGUCAGUAGCAUUCGAAGAUAAUGCCACAGAAUCAGAAAACCUUCAUCAGAGAUUCAGAUGAAAAAUAAUUUCCAAAUUACUAGUGAUUGAGUUUCAGUCUGUGUAUAAAGUCAUAAUUAAUACUACAUAGAUAGAUCAUAGAUACAUUUAUGUAGAUCCUUCACGCCCAUUAUUUUAUGCUUUCCUUAUGUAGGGCCUGGAUCCUCAAGAUGUAUCCAUGCCAUAUUUACUAUUGAGAGUUACUUUUUCUAAAUUCUUGUAUUCAACUUUGGAUCAUCAUCUGAUAUUUAACUCUCUUCUCCAAUUUUCCCUCUAUACAUAUUGUGUUGGUUAACAUAAUGUACGUGUAGAGAAUUGAACGACUUCAUCUUUUCUCCCUUCUGUUUUUAUUACCUUUUGGUAGGUUGUUAUUGUUGUCUUCGAUGGCAAUGGAGGCAGGUGCAGUAGCAGAAUUGUUGCAGAACUUUAAAAGGUACAUCAACUAGCUUAAUUUGCUCACAUUCAUUAAUAAUUCCUGCAAGCAUCUUUCCAUCUCUUCUUUAUUACUUUCUGUUCCUUUUUUUCCACAAUUGUUGGUUAUAUAUAAUAAAUUCUUUCUUUCACUGCCCUUGUUUCAUCAAAUUUGCAAUAGGCCUGUGAUUCCUCCAUUUAAAAGGUGAUCUAGCUUAGUAGACCUGGGAUGGUCACAUUGAUUCUUUUUACUAAUAAUGUACUAAUCAUAAAGUAAACGAAUGAAGGUAUUUCUACACAUGCUUGCUUGCUUUCUUCUUGAUUAAUGUGGACACUGAUUCAAUUUCUUCAACAAAUCUUGAACCUAAAUUGCACAAUGGUUAGUUCCUGGGUCCUUCACGUGGUUUUCAUUUGCAUUAGCAAGUCAUAUUAAAUGCAUAAAAUGGAAGAGAAAUCACAUAAUUUGACAGGUUCCAUUUUCACAUUCAAAUUAUAUAGCUUCUUGUAUUUACAAUAUAGAAACGCUAUAAAUACUGUUUGUGAUGCCGAUCAUGCCAUGGUUCUUGUUCUGUACAAUUUUAGUUCUCAUUGUCACACAUGAAAAUGAAUUCGUCAAGAAAGUUUGUUUUUAUGCACCAAAUUUAUCCAUGUGAAAUUCUGAUAGGCACUUCAAGUGUCACCAAGCUGUCUUCCUUCCAUUCCGAGCUUCAAGUGGUUUGUUAUUGCGUACUACUUUGGUUGGGCUUUCGUAGAUCAAGUAUAUGCAUGGUCGAAUGUAAAACUUCAACUGAAUAAGUUUUGUGCAUGUUAUUCGUAUAGCAUGGACUUGGUCUUGUCUACCAUACCUUGAUUAUGCUUCUAGAAGUUAAUUUGGUUUUGGAGAUUAUUAAGGGAUCAAUCCCACCUCGAAUAAAGAUGAAAAUAUAGGAAUUAGGCUACCCCUCUUAAUAAAAUUGAUAUUUUAAGAUGGAAUCCUAAAUCUUUACAGAGAUUGACUCUGAGUUGUGCAUCAAACCAUUUAUCUUCAGUGAACUUGAUUGGGGAAAAAUUCAUAGCUGAAACCCCCUUUUUUAUGCAGUGUUAGUAAUCAAUAAAUAGGAAAAUACCCAUUAUUUUCAUAGGAGCAUCUCCAAAGGAUCACACAUGUCUGUAUGCACCAAUUUAAGCACUUCCUUUCCUCUUCAAGAUCCUUCUUUUCAAAAAAGAUUGUUUGUGAUACUUUCCACGAGCACAUCCUUCACUAAUGUCAGAAGAUCUUUUACUUUGAGCAAGCCAUGAACCAUGUUCUUCAGUUGAAAUGAUUUUAGUCUAUGAAUAUUUAUAUGCUCAGGUCUUCUAUACAUCAAAUUAAGAAUACUGAUGAACAUUAAUUCUCAAUGCAAUGUUUUCAAAAUGCUCGACUGUGAGUGGAAAUCUUUUGAUUCCCCCAUUUUUUUUUUCAGAUAUCACCAGCGUCGAUUCAUUUUUGACAAUUUUUGCAACUGUUAGCUUCAAUUCACUGCAUAUCCAACAAGUUUUGAUGUGUUCAAUCAAGAAAAAUUAGUUAAUCAUUUUCUUUAUAUGGACUCCAAUUAUUUCUCUUCUUUUCCGUUCAUUAUAAAUCCAUUUCCCAUCUUAAUAGGUAUAGAUAGUGGAGUAUCUCUCAAUGAUAUUAAAUUUCUCGUUUAUUGCUACAUAUUGUCAAGAUACCAAAAGGUCAUUCAUUUAUUCAAUGGAACUUGAAGAUAGCAGAAAGGAAAUUCUCGUUACCUUCAUUUUGUUUCACAAAUUGUGUUAAUGACUAUUUUCACUCUAUAAUACUAAUUAAGGUUAAAUUUUCCACCUUUGUGCCAAGAUUCUGCAUCUACAUAAGUUUUCUUCCCACAAUUAAUCUUGCAAACUUGUACAUUGAGCUUUUACGUCUCUCAAAUAGUGUUUUUUUUCUCUUAUUCUUCCGAUAAUCUAUCCCCUACUAUGAUCUUCCCUUUCUUAAUGUUUUCAUUACACGAAAAUCCAUCGACCCCACAAUUUAGUUUACAUUCAAAGACAAUCUAUCAAUUCUCUUUCUAUGACAUGACUUAAUGUAGUACUGCCAAUUCUAUUCAACCAUAGCAUCAGAAUUUUGGUUAUGUUUUCACCAAAUAUCUCAUCUGGUUCAAGAUAUCUAGUUUGAGUACUAGUACUCUAUAAUAGUUUUACUUCCUUAUUCUCAAAUUCAUAAAUAUGUUUUAACACCUUGAAGAUUUCCACUUUUCAUCUUGAAAUUUUCUUGAAACUGACGUGCUUUCUUGCUAGUUGUAGUGUAGUACUCAUGACCAAUGAAAAAGGAUUGGGGACAUGACUUAUUUGAUGCACGAGCGAGACUGUGGAAUUUAUGGUCCAGCCUUGGAGUCGCUGUAAGGUUUGGUUCUUUGAAAAAUUAGAUUCAAAACUGUCUAUAUAAUAGACCAAGGGUCAAUAUUCUCUAGAAGAUAUUAAAAUUUGUAGAACCCUAAUUUCCUGCUUCAAAAUUGCCAUUGCUGAGCAACCUGAUGUAAGCAAUGUGUUGAAAUGAAGGCAGCUUAAUAUUAGUGAACAUGCUGCCAUAGAAACUGAUUGAGAGAAAAUUGAAGCUAAAAGUUAAGUGAAUUUAUUGCAGAGAAGGAAGAAUUUAAAGAAGAUUGAGCAGCCUAUUUUUUCAGAUUUUUCUCACCAUUUUUAAUCUAAUUGUGACAAGCUCAAACCAGUAUUUGUGUACAUUAAGGUUGUUUUUGUACAUGGAAUUAAGUUGUAGAAAGAAAGUGUAAAAUUAUUAGAUAUAUUAUGGAGA
rnacentral:lncRNA from 1 species